UACGGGGGGAGCAAGCGUUGUUCGGAUUUACUGGGCGUAAAGGGCGCGUAGGCGGUCGUGACAAGUCACUUGUGAAAUCUCCGGGCUUAACUCGGAACGGUCAAGUGAUACUGUCGGACUAGAGUACAGAAGGGGCAACUGGAAUUCUCGGUGUAGCGGUGAAAUGCGUAGAUAUCGAGAGGAACACCUGCGGCGAAGGCGGGUUGCUGGGCUGAUACUGACGCUGAGGAGCGAAAGCGUGGGUAGCGAACAGG
rnacentral:rRNA from 1 species